GCCAGUGUAGUGCAGUGGUUUGAGCGUUGGACUACAACUCUGGAGACCAUAGUUCAAAUCUCUGCUUGAGCA